UCCUUGUUUUUCAGGAUAAAUUGUACAUAUGAGGAUGGUUAUACCUGAAAACAGUAGUAGAUGAAUCAGCGGUUGAAAGGGAAAGUAAAGAAAAGGGAUCCCACAAUGUUUGAUGCUGUCAUUGUUCCUGUUGUAUCAUAAUCUAGAUGAUUAAGUUAUUUAUGAAUUCUCGAGCAACCAUUUAUGGCGAAAAAGGAGAGGAAUGGAUGAUGUGUAUAAAUCAAUCUGUAAUCAAUUGCGGYGGAUUAAGUAUAGAAGAAUAAUACAAAGAGCCCGGUUGUCGCGUACUCAGUGUUGUGUUUCUCUAGAAGUGAAAAGAAAAUGCCUUGUUUUUCUGAAAGCGGAAAAUAUAUGUUGCUAUUUUUUUCUAGUUGUCAAAUACUGGUGUAGAAACUAAUGGACCUCAGUAUUAUGUUGAUGUUCCCGAGGUCACCCUAGCAAACUAUUGUUUCGGUGGGAGGUUAUCCAAUGAAAAAAAUCACUCCCAACAAACGCUAGGGAGUUGUUAUGCUAAAGUAGAUAUAUUUGUUGAACGCCGAGUAUCUACUCUGGAGCUU
rnacentral:lncRNA from 1 species